AAUGAGUUACAUGAAUGACCGUGGAAUGAGUCUAUCCCAUGAAUGACCUGGGAAUGAGUUUACAUGCCUGACCUGGGAAUGAGUCUACAUGAAUGACCUGGGAAUGAGUCUACAUGAAUGACCUGGGAAUGAGUCUACAUGAAUGACCCUGGGAAUGAGUUUACAUGAAUGACCCUGGGAAUGAGUCUACAUGAAUGACCCUGCCUGAGGAGUUUGAGGGGAUCCAUUCACACACCUUUCGGGUGAAGACAUUCAAGAAGAGCAAGCACUGUGGCGUGUGCAAACAGACCGUCAGCCAGGAGGGGCUAAUUUGCAAAGUGUGCCGGCUGACUUGCCACAAGACAUGUGAAGUGAAGGUAAGAGCAGCAUCUUUUCUCAGGGCUCUUAUGUUGCCGAAUGGGCAUGUCUAAGCAAUGGGAACGCAGUCUUUUUUAGGCAGCUACACUUUUUACAUGUAGGUUGUUAUGAACUGUCAUUACAUCUUAUGUCAUCACGUCACAUCUCAAGUGCACAAGAGUCAAGUACAGUGUAGCUCUACCAAGUCAUCCUCUGUUGACGCAACAGGAGGCUGCUGAGGGGAGGAGGGCUCAUAAUAAUGGCCGGAACGGAGAGCGAAUGGAAUGGCAUCAAAACACAUGGAAACCAUGGAAACCAUGUGUUUUACUGU
rnacentral:lncRNA from 1 species